GAUGAACGCUGGCGGCGUGCCUAAUACAUGCAAGUCGAGCGAACGGACGAGAAGCUUGCUUCUCUGAUGUUAGCGGCGGACGGGUGAGUAACACGUGGAUAACCUACCUAUAAGACUGGGAUAACUUCGGGAAACCGGAUCUAAUACCGGAUGAUAUUUUGAACCGCAUGGUUCAAAAGUGAAAGACGGUCUUGCUGUCACUUAUAGAUGGAUCCGCGCUGCAUUAGCUAGUUGGUACGGUAACGGCUUACCAAGGCAACGAUGCAUAGCCGACCUGAGAGGGUGAUAGGCCACACGGGAACUGAGACACGGUCCAGACUCCUACGGGAGGCAGCAGUAGGGAAUCUUCCGCAAUGGGCGAGAGCCUGACGGAGCAACGCCGCGUGAGUGGUGAAGGUCUUCGGAUCGUAAAACUCUGUUAUGAGGGAAGAACAUAUGUGUAAGUAACUGUGCACAGCUUGACGGUACCUAAUCAGAAAGCCACGGCUAACUACGUG
rnacentral:rRNA from 1 species